rnacentral:sRNA from 1 species
AGCGAGAGAACGUUGCGUCAGCAACGGCCCGCAGGGCGAGCCACAAAGUGGCGAGUCAUCCUCUAUCACCGACCA